GAGAUAUUAAUAAAAUAAUUAUAUAACUUUGUCAGAGUUAAUUUAUAGGUUUAAGUCCUUUAUAUCUUA
rnacentral:tRNA from 1 species